GAGCUUCCCAGGCGCGCGGGCUGCGAGGUUAUUAGAGGUGGAGCGCGGGGAGGGCGCGCGGCGGGAGGCGGCCGCCGUUACGGCGCGAGCGUGGUCACGUGGCCGCUGGUCACCGCCGCCACCCCCUCCCGCCCUGUUCUCUUUCAGGUCGGGCCGGGCCCGGCCGCUUCCGCGAGCGCCCGGCAGACUGAGGGAGAGAGAAAGAGGAGGGGAGGAGGAGGAGGAUUCAGGGAAUAGGAGCUGGGGAGCCCUUCUGCGCCACAGUGAUAUCAGUAUCAAGAUAAAAGUUUGGAAUGGGAGAAAAAUUCUCAAAGCCUGAAAGAAAAUCUGAGAUGCUUGGAGUGUAAAGAUCCCAUGGUCACAUAAAUCCGGAAAGCACUGAAUACUUUGUUUCCCAUAAGAGAAUCCCAUUAUAUGUUGAUGUAUUAAAAGACCUGAGAACCUGGUACUUGUGUUUGGAGAACUCUAUUGUACUGAGCCUAAGUCAUUUUUGAUCUAUAACAAGAACAUGCAUUUUCACAUGUCAACCGGAUUUGUGGACCAGUAAAGUUCUUUCACGAGG
rnacentral:sRNA from 1 species